ACGAGACUCUCCACCAGGGAUUUGCACUUGACAACGGAUCGAGUUAAUGGCCCGAUAUUGUCAUAGCCACGCGCCAGGAAGGUUGUAAACGAAAAAUCCCAAUGUCACGCCCCAUUCCAGGUCAGCGUGAAGCUCAACAGUCCAAGUCCCCAUCUGCUUUAAUUGUACGGAAGUGAGCAGCUCAGCUAUUCUGCUAAACAUCUACUUUGGUGCUCCAUGAAAGAAACCAGAGGUUUGGAGCAACACAAAGGUGAGUAAUUGAUGACAGUUAAAUAUCUUCUGGACAUGACAUCCUUGUAGAUAAUGUGGUUACCACACUGGUUGCAUUUUGUGUGAGAGGAGAUGGAGAGAGACAUAAAAGAGAUGGAGUGAAUGAAUAAUAGAGCCAUAGAAACAGAAGGUCACUUCAGCACAAAUCACUCUGGGCUUGAAUUUGUUUGGCCUUGGGAUCUCUCUGUGUGUGUGCCAAUGAACAAUGCAACUUGAAUCACAUUGGCUUGUUUUUUAUUUCAGAUUAAUGAGCAACAUAUCCACCGCACAUAGACUACUAGAACGCUCUCAAUGUUUAACUGACCUUGUGUCACAGCCUUGGACUUAUAUACACUUAUCUACAAAUUAGCGCCUUUGGGAGGUUGUUUUUCAUAUUUGAUGUAACAUUUGGUCUCAUUAGUUCUCUGUAAACUUUGUGAACCUGUCCAUGUUAAUUAAAUACUUAUUUCGAACCUAGGUUUCUUUCUGGCUCUUGAUAAAAGCUGACAGUUUUUUAAUUACAAAACUGUGCUAAAUAAACACUUUUCAAUUAAGCAAUUUUUUGGCUAAUGAAUCAAACAAUCAAACGUAAUGCCAAAUGUCUAUGUUGAUUCAUUUAUUUAACAUCAGGAAUUUAAUUGGGUUUAUUGGCUAUUUCUCUCUGCACAUUAACACUAGAAUAUAAAAGACAACACAUGUUUUUUUUUAUUAUAUAGAAAUAUGAGUGGUUUUAUGAAGUUAAGACAUCAAAUUAAUUGUGCUUGUGGUAUUAAGCAGGGAAUUGAUCAAAUGGAUAGUUUUAACAUUUAACCCUGACCAAUGAGGUUAAAGCUAAACCUUAAAGGGGACUUAUAAUGCCCCUUUUACAAGUCUCUGGUGUCCCCAGAAUGUGUCUGUAGAGUUUCAGCUCAAAAUACCCCACAGAUCAGUUAUUAUAGCUUGUCAAAUUGGCCUCUAUUUGGGUGUGAGCAAAAACACGCUGUUUUUUGUGUGUCCCUUUAAAUGCAAAUGAGCUGCUUGUUCCGGCCCCCUUUCCAGAAGAGGGCGGAGCUUUAACAGCUUGCGCUUCGGUUGCUCAACAACAACAAAGCUAGACAAUCUCACGCAGCAAAAAUGAGGAUUUUCGAUAACAGUGUUCAGCCUUACAUUGUUCAAACCGGAGUCGACACUGAUGGAGAGACUCAGGAAAAAGUUACAACUUUUAGAAUGAAACUGGAUGUUUCUGAACAGUUAGUGGAUAAAUUUAUGUAGUUGCUGUGGAGUUGAUUCAACUCAUCGACUAGCAUGUGCCGUCAUUUUGUGCAAAUCCAGUGUUGAAUUGACCCUUGUUUGUGAAGCAGUCCGGCGUAAAAUGACGGCAUGGUAACAACACUCUACUACAACAACUCUUCCUCUUCUCUAAAGCAGCCCAACAUGGCCUCGUUCCCUUUGUUGUGUGUUCUCAGGGGCAGGGUUUAUGUAAAUUUUAGGGUUAUUGAUGUCACUAACAUGGGAAGAAGCUCAUUGUAGUCCCUACCAGCCGUUUGUUGUAGUCCUUAAACAGCGAAUUCUUUAAAAGAAAAUAUCUCCCAUUGCAUUGAACUUUGAGUGUGUAACUUUGCAGAUGUUGUUUGUGCUCUAACAGCAACAUUACACACUAAAGUUAAAAAAGUGAAAUCAUAAUCAACUACCCCUUUAAAGGGAUAGUUCGUCCAAAAAUGAAAAUUAAUUAUAUCAUUAUUUACUCACCCUCAUGUUGUUAUUUUUUGUCAUAUUUGAAACUUGACAGCAUCCGUUGACAUUCAGUUUCAUUGGAAAUGAGCAGCGUAAACGUUCUGCCAAACAUCUGCUUUCUUGUUUAACAAAAGAAGUUAUUCAUAAGGGUUUGGAACGACAUGAAGGUGAGUACAUCGUUUUUUUUUAUCUGUGGGUGAACAGCUUCCUUAAUCUGUAUGUUCUGCACAAAUACAUGGAUUAGUUUUACAAAACACUCGUCUGUUUGGGUCAGGUACAUAUUGCUAUUAAUUCCGAAACAAGAUCUGCAGUAAACGUCCAAUAUGAAUGUUUUAUAGCUCUGUUCUCUAAGGCAACAGCAAUCAAUUUUACUUUCAUCAAUGAGAAAGAAGCAAAACCGUAAUCUCAAAUUGGGAUUCCCUUUAACACUGUUCCUUUUAUCAUCUUUAAUAAUUCAUGUGUAGGCUGUGCGAUUUCUGCAGCCCCCAGCAAAACGAUAAUAUCCUGUACUGUAGAUCAGGAGCGCUAGAUGGUGGUUGGUUCAGAGUGUACCAGCAGAAGCCAUCUGAGCUGUUGGACAGAAGGAUACUGUGGCAGCAGUAACUCAUCUAUAAUGGUCUACAGUAAAGCCUUCAGCUUCAGGCUGCGUGUAAAAAAAAUAGUCCAACAUGAUAUAAGUGAUUUAUCAAUCGGUCUCUACAAGAGUGCUGGAUACCUCCCUAACGGUUCUGCAGUGUGUAGAGAGGAGGAGGAGGAGGAGGAGGAGAAGUCCGUGUUUUCAGAAGUUUUCUUCUGCAGAAACUUCAAAUGCUCGGCCUGACUCUGGGCCCUGGUGCCCGUGGUACUGCAGAGGUGUUUGGAACGGAGCCCUGCUGUUUGAACAUUUACUCUCCCCUUCCCCUGCAUUUCCACUGCGUUCUCCAAGCAGUCUGUUCUUCCUGCUGUUUUCAGUGGUAGUUUAUAGAAUAUCCGUCUGCAGCUGAAAUAUUACUGCUUCAAAACAUAGGGAUUUAUUUUGUGAUUUAAAAAAAUAUAUAUAUCUUGGUGCUGUGUGUGAACAGAUGGUAGAUUUUCUUAAAAGAAAAAAUGAGUGGUGUUUGACUAUGCAAAAUUCACAGGCAAGAUUAAGGGGUGUUUUGGGUGGUUGCCAGGGUGUUGCAAUGCCCGAUUACAUUACUUUCCCACCGCAGCACUGCCCCCACUGUCGUUUUGCUUUUUUAUAAAAGUAAAAAACCAUUUACUUCAGUUGGACAAUGGAUGCUGCAAUUAUAAACUGAAAGUGUCUGCUCUGCUCCAUACAACACGUGCAGCAGGAGACAAUCAUGUGAUGAGAGUAAGAAGAGAUGACUGACAGGACGAUGGCGGGUGCCGUUUGGUGCACAACAGAUCAUUGACAAACAGGGCUAGAUGAUUCUCUUCAGUGAGACCAUAAUGAUGACCUUUAUCUCCAUGAAGGUGAUAAGACCAUAGAAGACACGUAUCUGUACCGUGGACUUUGAAGCUUGAUGCUUCUUCCUGCAUUUGCCUGAAAAUUCCUGUCAAACAAACUCAACGUCCUCCAAUCAGUGGUGAUCAAACAAUGAGGGUGCAAGGGCGGAACAACCUGUCAGUUACAUGAGAUCAAUCAUCCAAUCAAUUCCUGAUGGAUCCUGCCCUACAUUUUUUCUCAUUCGAGAAGCCGUUUCACUCAGAUAUACAAUACGAUAUGUCGUCAUUGAUUAAUAACUUGUGUUUUAGUUUUGUCUUGCGGACGGGGUGAGUGUGUGUUCAAUAAUUGAUGUUGAACAGAAUGAGCAAAUGGUUUGUCAAAGUCUGUGGUGAAUGUGCUGUUGUGUUCUGAUUACUACGAUUUCUUCAGCUGUUGCCAUGGGCAACACAUCGGACAAAUGCAAGGAAAACACAAGGGUUCACACUCGACCCCAUUCCACCACACACACACACACACACACACACACACACAGAGACACGUGUUAUGCAUUUCAUUCCCCUGAUAAUAUACUGGAAAUUAAAUUCUCAAUGUUUUGUUGUCAGUAUGUGCAAUAAACAAAGACUCAGAAAGAGAAAAGAGACAAAACCUUAACGGAAAUGACAGGACAAUAUAAUCACUGCACCAUCAAUCACUGUGUGUGUGUGUACGUGUGUUUGCGCAUGCAUGUGUUCGUGUUUGUGCGUGUUUGUGUACGUGUGCGUUUGUGUGUGUAUGUGUUCGUGUUUGUGCGUGUGUUUGUAUGUUUGUGUGUGUGCGCGUGCGUGAGUGUGUGCACGUUUGCAUGUUGCGAGUGUGCGUGUUUGUGCAUGUGUGUGCAUGUUUGUGUGUGUAUGUGUGUGUUUGUGCAUGCAUGUGUUCAUGUUUGUGCGUGCUUGUGUGUUUGUGCGUUUGUAUGUUUGUGUGUGCGUGCGUGAGUGUGUGCACGUUUGCAUGCUGCGAGUGUGCGUGUUUGUGUGUGUUUGUGCAUGCAUGUGUUCGUGUUUGUGCGUGUGUUUAUAUGUUUGUGUGUGCGUGCGUGUGCACGUUUGCAUGUUGCGAGUGUGUGUUUGUGCAUGUGUGCGUGUGUUUGUGCAUGCAUGUGUUUGUGCGUGUGUUUGUAUGUUUGUGGUGCUUGUGUGCGUUUAUGCAUGUGUGUGUGUAUGUUUGUGCAUUUGUGUACGUGUGUGUGCGUGCUUGUGUCUUUGUGUGUGUGUUUUUGCGUGUAUAUAUGUGUCUUUGUGUGUGCACGCUUGCGUGUGUGUGCAUGUGUAUGCGUGCAUGAGUCUGUGUGUGUGCAUGAAUGUGUAUGUGUGUGCGUUUGUACAUGUGUAUGCGUGCGUGUGCGUGCGUGCGCACGUGUGUGUGUGUGUUCUGGGAUCUUAUUGGUGAUAGUGAUUUUGUAAAGAUUUUCUCUGUGUGUUUGGGGACCUCAGUGUCUUCUGUCUCUAUAAAUAAAAGUCAUGUGGGCUGCAGUGAAAACAGGCCUGCUGAAGGAAAUAAUGCAUUCAAAACCCUCAAUCAAUGACUAUUUACAUGAACAUAUAUAUCGACCUGCAUCUCACUCCCUAAUUGUGGGACAAGAACAAAGAUAAACAGUGAUAAACUAGCACUGUUUCAGUCCCCA